rnacentral:rRNA from 1 species
AUGCAAGUCGAACGGCAGCACGGGGGCACCCUGGUGGCGAGUGGCGAACGGGUGAGUAAUACAUCGGAACGUGUCCUGUAGUGGGGGAUAGCCCGGCGAAAGCCGGAUUAAUACCGCAUACGCUCGAGAGAGGAAAGUGGGGGAUCUUCGGACCUCACGCUAAAGGGGCGGCCGAUGGCAGAUUAGCUAGUUGGCGGGGUAACGGCCCACCAAGGCGAAGAUCGGUACCCGGCCUGAGAGGGCGCACGGACACACUGGAACUGAAACACGGUCCAGACUCCUACGGGAGGCAGCAGUGGGGAAUUUUGCGCAAUGGGGGAAACCCUGACGCAGCAACGCCGCGUGGAGGAUGAAGCCCUUUGGGGCGUANACUCCUUUCGACCAAGACGAUAAUGACGGUACUGGUGGAAGAAGCACCGGGCUACUCUGUG